AUCUAGCCCCGAUUGGAAGAAGCUACCUUGUAGCCUGGAAAGCGGGAAAGUCA
rnacentral:misc_RNA from 1 species